ACGGCAGCGGGGUAGUGCUUGCACUACUGCCGGCGAGUGGCGAACGGGUGAGUAACAUAUCGGAACGUACCGGGCAGUGGGGGAUAACUGAUCGAAAGAUCAGCUAAUACCGCAUAUUUUCUGAGGAAGAAAGCAGGGGACCAUUUGGCCUUGCGCUAUCCGAGCGGCCGAUAUCUGAUUAGCUUGUUGGCGGGGUAAGGGCCCACCAAGGCGACGAUCAGUAGCGGGUCUGAGAGGACGAUCCGCCACACUGGGACUGAGACACGGCCCAGACUCCUACGGGAGGCAGCAGUNGGGAAUUUUGGACAAUGGGCGCAAGCUGGAUCCAGCCAUGCCGCGUGUCUGAAGAAGGCCUUCGGGUUGUAAAGGACUUUUGUCGGGGAAGAAAAGGUCGGGGUUAAUACCCCCGGCUGAUGACGUACCCGAAGAAUAAGCACCGGCUAACUACGUGCCAGCAGCCGCGGUAAUACGUAGGGUGCGAGCGUUAAUCGGAAUUACUGGGCGUAAAGCGGGCGCAGACGGUUACUUAAGCAGGAUGUGAAAUCCCCGGGCUCAACCCGGGAAUUGCGUUCUGAACUGGGUGGCUAGAGUGUGUCAGAGGGAGGUAGAAUUCCACGUGUAGCAGUGAAAUGCGUAGAGAUGUGGAGGAAUACCGAUGGCGAAGGCAGCCUCCUGGGAUAAAACUGACGUUCAUGCCCGAAAGCGUGGGUAGCAAACAGGAUUAGAUACCCUGGUAGUCCACGCCCUAAACGAUGUCGAUUAGCUGUUGGGCAGCCUGACUGCUUGGUAGCG
rnacentral:rRNA from 1 species